rnacentral:lncRNA from 1 species
CCGGUGUUGCGCUGGUGAAGGCUAUCCAGAAGAGCUACUACACCAAGUACGGCGGCGGUGCCAACUCACUUAGCGAUGGGUACAGCAUCGGAGUUGGAUUGGCUGCUGAGAUUAUUGGCACCUUUGUGCUCGUUUACACCGUUUUCUCUGCCACUGACCCCAAGAGGAGUGCUAGAGACUCCCAUGUUCCGGUACAUCUACACCUUUCAUCUAUAAUUUGCAAUUACCAUUUCCUUGUACUAAUCUUUAUAUUAUAUGCAUCUAAUGGCUUUGUUUGUCUCUCGUAUUGGUGGCUUUCAUACAUGGGAGUUUUUUUUUAACCAGAAUGGUUAUUCAAUACUCUAGUUUCUGAUAUAAACGUUGCGAUUCGAGUUUAAUAAUACUUAUUUUUUGAAAAAAAAAAAACAAGGGAGCUGAGAAAAUUAGAGAAAAUCUAGUGUCUUCAGAAAUUUUGAAUAAGAAUCCACCAGCAUGUCUCUUUGGGAUUCUAAUCUUUGUUUGCUUUUAUUUUUCUUGAAACCAUUUUAAUUUAGGAAACUUUUUUAUUUGAAUUCAUCACAUGUUUAUUAUUAUUAUUUUUUAAAUUUAAAUACUUUCUGAAAAUGCAUUAUUUAAUCACAUGUCCUAGUUUUUGAAAAUUUUGACUCCUUCUCAAAAUGCAUUAUUUUUUGAACGAGCUAGUAAAUGCAUUAAUUUAUAUAUAUAUAUAUAUAUAUAUAUAUAUAUAUAUAUAUAUUGUAAACCAUCAUUUAACCUUUGGACAAGUUUAGGUGUCCCACACACUACUGCUAAUUCUUUAGGGGGCGUUUUUGUUUGCCCUCACUAAGUGGGACUGGACUGGACUAUCUGUUAGUCCAAUACUGUGUUUGUUUCAUGCUGGGACUAACAUUAAUGAGACUAAAGGGGACUAGCAUGGACAAAACUCUUCACUAAGAGGUCUUAGCGAGACCCCCCAAUAACCAUGGGACUAGCUAAGACUAUCCUCUCUCGUCCUCGUCAUGCUCAACAAUCACUCCCGAUAGACUCCUCGUCAUCUCCGGUCACCGAGAUUAUAAUAAAAUAUUAAUAAUUUAUAUAUUAAAUAAUAUAAUAUUAAAAUUUGUUAUUAUCCGCUUCUUAGUCCAACACUGCACCAAACACUUCACUAAGUUAGUCCAGCUUAGUCUAGUCUAAGCCAGUCCAGCUUAGUCCUUGAAGCUAGUCCAGUCCGAGAUAGUCCGGCGCAACAAACGCCCCCUUAGGGUUUUGUUGUACAUAUGUUCAUCACAUAUAGAUGUUCUUAAAAGGAUCAUAUUCUUGUGUUUUUUGGUGUUUAUAUCGUGCUUAUAUCCAAAAUGAGAUCUCGGAACCAAGUAUUAGAGGCAAAAUCUUGAGUUUACUGUUCCUUUGGGAUAGUGCAAUGGCUAUAUAGCACAAUCUCGUCAAAUAUUAGAUGUUGCCCUUGAAAUUGUUAGAACCAAAAACUCUUUUCAAGUCUCAUGGCAAAAGAUACGUUGUUGAGAAUUGCAUUUCGCAAGUGGUGGAUUGCCUUGGUGAAUUAGGGUCUCUCUCUUCAACUCGCUGCAUCUCGAUUCAAACCCUUUCCCUCUCAUUGGCCUAGCAUAAAGAAAUAGCAUUUCCCUUAUGAGUAGGGUGAAAAGAAUGAGCUGGGCCAACUGUUUUUUUCUGGUUAGCAUUUCAGGGUAUCAUGCAAUGCAAUAGAUGCGGAAGUCACCUAAUUUUGUUUGCUUUCAACAAGUUGCUUCAACUUUUUCAAUUAUUUUCUCCCAACUUUUCACCUUUCCAUCAUUCCUAACGUGCCAUGCCUUCUUCUAGUAUCGUCAUGAAUCAUGACUCACUCGAGGUCUCAACGUCAAUCUGUGGGUGCUUCACAUAAACCUCGUUUAACAACCUCAAAACCACUAGUUUAGUUAUUGUUUAAUAUUAAAAAGUUGAUUAACGUCUGAUUUGUUUCUGGUGUUAAACAGUUCCAAACAUUUGAUAUGCUGAGUCAGAAAUGAAUGAAAGUUGUCUAAUUUUGUUUUUAUUUAGCUUCACAAUCACGGGGCAUGUCUUUUCUAUGUACCGUUUUAGUCCAUUUUCCAACUCUUCCAUCCUGUUCCAAACUGUCCUGUUGUCUACAUUUUUUGUAUGUUUUCCACUUGUAUAUAUUCCGAUGGAGAUUCUUAGUUAUCUCCGGUUGUAUAUCUUCUCGUGUCUUAUCUCUAAUGUCACGUGUCUGAGAGAGACAGGAAAGAAUACAACCGGAUACAUGGUGGAUUCUCUCGUAUUCUAGCUGGCUAAAUUGUGGACUGUUGUGAAUUUUGAAGGUUUUGGCUCCACUGCCAAUCGGGUUUGCUGUGUUCAUUGUUCAUUUGGCCACCAUCCCAAUCACUGGCACUGGCAUCAACCCUGCUAGAAGUCUUGGACCUGCUGUUAUCUUCAACCAAGACAAGGCUUGGGAUGACCAAGUAUGUAUUCCAAUAUUAAUUAUUCAUCACUUUUAUAUUAUUAUUAUUAUUAUUAUUUAAUUUUAUAUAACGUAAGAUAUUCCGGAGCUCCUCAGAAUUUUCGCUAAUAUAUGUUCUUGUCUACUCUCUUGUUGGUUGCAGUGGAUUUUCUGGGUUGGACCCUUCAUCGGAGCAGCAAUUGCAGCCUUCUACCACCAAUUUAUCUUGAGAGCAGGAGCUGCCAAGGCCCUUGGAUCAUUCAGGAGCCACCCGAGUGUUUGAAUUGAAAUAUUUUCUGAGAAUGUGAUGGGAUUUGGAAAACAAUGUUAAUUAUUAUGAAGGGUAAUAUUUAUAUUUAAUUGUGCUUAACUUAUGCUUUGUGUAUGAAGGUUUCAUUUGGUCAUCUCUCAAUUAAAUUUCCAUCAGAAAAAGGGGCUGAGAGGCCAUGAAUUUGUAGAUAUUGUCACGUACUUGCCUUUGAAUUUACUUCAAUGUCAUUGCCAUUUUCUCAAGAUUUUCUCCUUGUUUUCUGCUUUCUACUCAUAUCAUGCUUGAAGACAAGUGCUUUUAUAAUUUUGGGGUCACUUUUGCUUGCUAUAUGAUGGCUAAGUGAGAUCCACUUGAAGCUUAGUGGGUUGGGCACUGUAAAAAGCAGAAGGUGAAUGAAUACUAGUUUUGCAUCUAGAAACCAAAGGCAAAUAAGGGUGGAAACAUGGGGAGUUUGGCACAACUCCGCUUUAAGCACUUGUAAGGUUUGUUUAACUUUUCGCUCUGAAAUAACUUAAGACCUUAUCUGUAGCGAAACAUGAAGCUUAAUAUGGACGAAUAAUCCAAAUGCAUAUGUUGUUAAAAGGAAUUGUAUCCAGUUGCCUUAUUUCUUCGAUGAGGAAUUAAGCGGUGUGGAGCAUACGUGAAAUGUUGGUUUUACACGUGGCAAAUUUGCUCUGUUACUAUAAAAGAAGAUAAAAUUACAGUCUCAUGCCAAUAAUAUCAAUGACUCAGAUGUUUAUAAGUUUUCUAAACUUUUUUCGAUGUAAGAUAUUUCUUCAAAUCCUCAACCACUCCCGUUUAGAGAUAUUCAUAAUCUUGCAAAUCUUGGGAUGCUUGAUUUGGUUGAUCAAGUCAUGGAGUCUGCUAUAUUUGUCCGUUGGCGCAACACACCAUACAACUCGUUGCCUUCGCUUUCCUUCUACACUAUACUACAAUCCACUAUCUCACCCUUUUCCCAAGAUUCCCAACAACAAAAUCUAAUCUCUCCCAACACACACCACAUAAUAUAUAUAUAUAUAUAUAUAUAUAUAUAUAUAUAUAUAUAACAUGUUAUAUAUAUUAUAUAUAUAUGUAUGUAUGUAUGUAUGUAUAUAGCUGUUAGUGUGACAUACGCGAAUUUUUGUACCUCAUGAAACCUCAAAUCCAUGAAUGUGGACGUCUUGUCUUCCAAUAUCUAUAUGGCUGUAAGGAAACCUUUGAAGGGAAGAAAUCUCCAAUUUUUAUAAAAAUGGAAAUUAGUUGUGGAGUCCCUAUCACACCGAAUUUUAACAAGCUGAUCGUCUAUUUUUCAAGUUGCACCUCAUAAAUUAUCUUUGCAAAAUAUUAACCAAAUUGAAAAUAUUUGAGGCGUCUAAUUAAGUACAAAGAAAUUGACUAAUACUUUCUUUUCUAAGAAACAUUGAAAUUUCAUCGUGGUAAUUAAAUUAGCAAAUGAUCUCAGAUUAAAUUGAAUUUCUGAAAGGAUGAUCUAUGAAUCGAGACUUACAAAAUAGACAAUUCGGAUCAUUGAAGUUCGAUGUAGAGUGAGCCUUACAAUUAGUCCCCAUUUACCAAAAAUGGGGAUCUUUUGGAUAAAGGGCCUGGUGUCUGUAAUAUUAUAUUUAACUUAAUUUUUGGGUUUUUUUUUCAUUUUUUUAAUUGUUCUUGUAAAUUUAAUUAAGGUUAAGAUGUAGAUGCAAGGAUCGGUAAUAGUGAGAUUCUCGUAUUUUACCUUCAGGCCUAAGGGGCAAUGUUCAAUCCUCUGCCAUCCUAAAAAACAGGAAGUUUAAUAGCUGAGAAUAAUGUUAAACCGUAAGAUCGAUCUUACUGAAAAUAAAAUUUCAAACGCGACACGUUACAUUGAAGCUCAAAACACGACUGAUAUGGAUCAUGGCUCUUGUGGCUUAUAUCUUGUUUCUUGUUGUUGAACCCAACAAGUUGAAGAUGGCCCUAAUUGCUCGUAGACAGUUUUACCAGAUCAAGUGAGGUUAGCCAUGUAGCUCUUCAAAAUACUAUCUUACCCUCACCCACUUUGAGUUUGAAUUGCCACUGGGUCUCUUGAGAGUUGAGACUAGCUGCUGGAUUCCAGGAGUUCCACCCCAAAGGGCCGAAAGAGUGACAUAAACAUAAGAAAUAUCCUUACUCUUGCCAUUUUAAACAUAUCAUAAACAUAUUACUUCACACUGUUUGCAUGUGGAGAAUAUUUUGAAUUGAACGUAACAUUGCCAGGUAAUAUUAUGUAAUAGGUGGAUUGAUAACAUCAUUUCACAUUAGCAACCACAUUAAAGUUAAGGGAACUUUAACAAAAAACAUCCGGUGCUGUUCACUUUAAUGAAAAACCAUAUUUUUACACUAAAAAGUCAAUCCUGGUACUAUUCACUUUACCCUUUAUUUUGUCCUUAUCAUUAAAACUCAAAGUUUUCAAGCCCUUUUGUGAGAGUGGCAUGAUCACCAAGCUGCUGUAUUGAAUACUCUCUUCCACGAUUAAAACUCUCACACAUCAUGUUUAAUAGUUGUUGCUCUCUAUCUCUCUCACGCAUUAAUAGAAUAUAUAACUGUACUUUACACAGUAAGGUCUGGAAGUCAAUUGCAAAAUGAGUCACGAGGUUUUAACUUUUGUAUUUCACACCACGUGGUUUUUGAAUUGCACAAAUUUAACCUCUUUGUCAAUUUCACCUUCUAAGUGGACGUUGAUGCAACAUAGACUAGACUCACAUUUUAAGCACCCGUUGACCUUCAAUUUCAAUGUUUAGUCAUACUCUUUUACUCUUUUAAUUCUUUUAUGAACGUGUGCUUAAAAUGCAAGCCCAAUAUAUGCCACAUCAGCAAUUAACAUCUAAUUUAAUAGUAGAAUAGAAAGAGAGGUUAGUUGGUACAAUUCAGAAAUUAGGUGGUGUAAAAUGCACAAAAUUAAAAUAUCGUGGCUCAUUUUGCAAUCGACACCAAAACUUGUGGGGGUAAACUGCAGUUAACUCGAGAUAAAAAUGUUCACAUUGAUGUAAUUAACUGAGGGAGACCUAUCUGAAAAGCAAAUAAGCAAAGCAAACAGUGCUGUGGUGUGCACGCUUCUAUGAUUGCCUGUGGUAGCACGGCAAGCAAAUGCAAUACUUCAAAGUCAAGCAACCACCGCACUUGCAAUUCUAUAUAGCAAACACUGCCUGCCACUUCCUUUUCAGACUUCAACUGCAAAAAAUUACCAACAAAUUAAUCAAAUUUUCUUAUGGCACCCAUCACCAACCUCGUCUGCUUCCUUUUCACUCACUUUGGUUUUCUCUGGACACCCACGUUGCUCCACAACUUCAGGUAUGAAAACCUCAUUGAGCUUGAGCGAUAUACAUUCCAAAGUUACAGGUACGAAAAUCCCCUCGGUCCCUCUCACUUGGGUUUUGGUUUUUCACACCCUGAACUUGCAACCCUUAUCUAAUCUCAUCGUCUGCAGCUACCAGCAUUUAAUUGUUGUUCAAACUUAAUCAAGACAUAUAUGUGUGUGUUCAUAUGUAUACAUGCUCAAAGAAUCAAAGUUCCACAUGACCGGCUGUGUUUGAUCGCCGUCGAUGAAGUGAUCAUGAAGGCCGUUCAUCGGUUUUGGAGCUGCAGAUAGUGUUGUGAUCGUAGCAAAACAUCACUGUAAAUAUACUGUUAUGAUCAAGAUAAAUAAUUGUACACAACGUGGCAUUCAUUUCUGUUGUCAUAUGGUGCAUUGCAAUGUAGUUUUUAACUUUGUUUUUGUGGGUCUUAUUAUUUGCUUUAAUUGGGAUUGAUAUUAAAUGUAACAACUUUUUAUUUAGUACGAUAUUCUACACUAAUCGCUAGGAAGAGAAAGAGUUUAAAUCCGAAAUACAAUGAGUUGAAGAUAAAAACUUUAACUGCUGGAGCAAUACCCGCUGGUUCUAAAUGUAACAAGUUUGAGUGUAUUGACUAUUAUGCUUUAAGUAAAAGGGGUAGUUAACUUGCCUUUGAGGAAAAGCAAUUAAAGAGCUAAUCACUACACUUUACCAUCUCUAGUUAGGCCACCAAACGAGGGUAACACGUGCAUUUAUCUGACGGACCAAGUCUUUCCACGUCACUGUCAAUUCUACUUCAUCAUCAUACUCCAAGUCUCGAAUCAGGAUCCUCUUCGGAUCCUCUCUGUGAGGAUUCUGAAGAUUCUCAAAUCGUAUCCAUUUAUCGUACAUCGUUUGAUCAGAAAUUAUUUUAAAUAUUUUUAUUUAAAAUUCAAUAUGGCUAGUACUUGACGAAAAAUGAUCACACAAUUUACAAUAAAUGGAUAUGAUUUGAUGAUCCAUAGGAUCCUCAUUCCCAAGUCUCAUUCACUCGAUGAUCCAAACCCAUUACUUAGCACCGUUGUCCAUCUCCAAGCCUUCCUUACAUCCCAUGCCCAAUAAAACCACACAUGACCAUUCCCCAAUCCACAGAAUGGGGACGCCCAUUCACUCAGAGAGAUUUUUCAGUGUGACCAUCACACGAGGUAGUAUAUCACGUAUUCUUAUAAAAAUGGUGAGUUAUAUAUGUUAAAAGGUUAAUAACUUAAAAAUUAAAAAAUUUCACCACUUGCAUAAAAACACAUGGUGUACCAUCUGUGUUUCCGUCACAACUAAAAAUUUCUCCAUCCACUCGAUGCAAUAGGCCACAUUUCAUUACAGGAUAGUGUUAUUCACACACUCGUUUUUAUUUUUCACACAUGUUCUUAAUUUUUAGUUAUUGGAUCGAAUAACUCGAAGAAGACUAAUGACAAAAAAAUUAACAAGGGUGUGUAGGGUAAAAAUAAGUGUGUGAAUAACAUUAACCUUCGUUACAUAAAGUAUCUAGACACUUGCUUUUAGUCCUGAAGGGAAUUUUCUCGUCUCAAUGAUAAAUUAUUGCAUGAAGUUGAAACACUGUCAAAAGCUAUAAUUAUUACUUUUUUACAUGUAAAUAAAAAUUGAUACCAAUAUCAUACCAAAAGCAUAAACUCGUUGUCUAUUCAUAUCAUAACACGUAAAUUAUUUAUUACAUGAGUGUAUUUUUGUACUAUACAAUAAAAUUUUCAUUUCAAUUUAGACAUAAUCACAAAUAUUUUUUUAUUUUUUUAUUUUUUUUAACUCAUGGGCAUAUCCUAUUCUUAUUUAGGAGGAAGGAAAUUUGAACUCGGUAACAAGGUUGGUUAAGUGAUAAUUAAUUAAAAUAUAAAGAUCUUGAAAAAAACUCAACAAUAGCAUUUUCCCCAAAAAUUAUGAGCUAUCUUUCCGUUUUUAUUUGUUUUACUAAGUUCUUUGAAAAACUAUAUAAACUAUAUGGGUAAAUUACAUAGUAACCCUUCAUGUUUGAGAUCUAUUACAAUCUCAUACAACAUCUUUAAAACAUUUCACUUUCAUACUUCAAGUACUAUUUUAUUUCAAUAUAAUACAUCUGUUAUAUUUUCCAUCCAUUAAUCCGUUAAAUGCUGAUGUAGCUGCCACAUUUGUGCCACGUGACUGCCAAAUAUGUGCCACGUAGCCAAAAAAAUAAUUUUUAAUUUUUUGUUAAAACCUAAAUCUUCUAAAGAAAUUUAUUAAAAAACCAAAAACCAUGUGGCAGCCACGUCAGCAUUUAACGGAUUAAUGGAUGAAAAAUCUAACGGAUGUAUUAUAUUGAAAUAAAAUAGUACUUGAUGUAUAAAAGUGAAAUGUUUUAAAGAUGUUGUAUGAGGUUGUAAUAGACUUCAAACCUGAUGGGUUACUAUGUAAUUUACCCAAAACUGUAUUUUCUUGGCGUUUUUGUCACAUCACGUGCUUCAUAAAAUUCAUAACUCUGAUUUGAGCCCUAAUAGUAUUUUUCUUGAAUUUUCAAAUUUUCAACCUAAAGUUUCAAUAAAAAUCCUUAUGGGGCUUGUAAAAUGGUUGGAUCACUUCUAAAUCAUUUGUAAUAUCUUUGCAUAAACUCAACAAUUGCCUCUUUUCACAAAAAUGUGAGCUAUAACUCUUGAUUUUUUGUCAGGUAUCGAUAACAAGUUCAUAGUUAUUUUCAUAAGUCGAACAUAAGACAUUUUACUUGUGAUAAAAGUAUCAGUAAGUUAUUAUCUAGUCAACAAGAUGAAGAAGGCCAACGACGUCGUUGGGGAAGAACUUAUCGGUUCUGCCAAUUAUCUGACUUUGCUCAGGGAGCCAAUUAUUACCCGUCCCUCUUCUUGUCGAAACAUACAGUCCCCUCCAUUUCCUCCGUCGUCGAAGAUCACCAGUGCACAAAAAGAGAGAGAGACAUGCAUCUAUGGCCGUCGGCGACGAUCAGAGACUCCUUCAAGCUCGAUUACCUGAGGAAGCUCGACUGGAACCUCCAGAGGAUGAAAAGCGAGAAGGAAUCACAAAAAUCAGUCAAGCAGAACCUGCUCGAUGGCCAAGACGGCGGAGCCGCCAAACAGUUGGAUAGCCCACGAGGCCAAGUCAACGGAAAAGCGGCGGACUUGACCAAUCCAAAGGCUCAUGGAAGAGAUAGAAUGGUCGCUGGACUCUGCGGAGAGACUCUGAUGCUUCUCUCUUGCUGCUUCUGCUGUGGAGGUAAACUUGAAUUUAUCUCAGCCCCUUUUGAUUUGACAUGAUAAAGUUUUGAAAUUUGUGUUGGAAUUGAAAUUUUACGAUUUGGGUUUUGUUUAUAUGAGCUUCUUUGGUUUUGUAUGUGGGGAAUUAGUGUUUAACUUGGGUGGAAAAUUGGGGUUGGAUUUGAAUUCUUUGAGGGAUGUUGUUGUAUAAUCGUUGCUUAGUGAGUUUAAUGUGGCUUUCUCUUAAUUAUGUGUGAGAAAGAAAACUUAUUGAUAGUGUAGAAUAUAUAUAUUUGGAAUUCGAGCAGUGUGCCUUUGGUUUGAUUGCUAGUUUGGACACAAGAUGAUGCUGGAAUCCUGUCAUGUCUUUUUUGUUUAUCGAUUAGUUUAAGCAUAAACUGAUUGAUAUCAAGGUCAGGUCAAUCUUUUAGUUAGAGGAUUCAAAGAUUCUACCUGCUUUUGUGAGCCUGUAAAAGGUGGGCGGGUGGUGGCUUGUUGCCUAAGAAUUGAUCAGCUUGACAAGGAUUCUUGUGACCAUCGUUUUAUGUAGAAUAUUUUUAGAGUACUUUGUUUGGAGAAGCUGGUAAAGGAGGUGACUGGAGGACUGAAUGAGAUAUCAUUGAUGAACACGGUAUCAGCAGAUUAGAUGCAAAUUACUUCAAAAGAUUCAACACGGAGUGCACGUGCUCUAGAUUAACAUGGGGACUUUUUUUUCGUAGAGGUUAACAGUUUUUGGUUUAACUAUCAGUAUUGUCUUGUUGAGCUGGGAAUAGUGGGAAUGCCUAAUUCCAGGGUCAUAAAGUGCUAAAUUGGGGGAGGAUAUCAGUGCGAGGUACAGCGUUGUCAUCCAUGAUCAUAUAUUCUCACAAACUUAUUGGCGUCCCUAUGGAUUUAUGCCCUAUAACAUGUCGACGUAUAUGUGAAGAAUGGAUACCUAAGAAGUCUCUAAUUUGAAUGGUCUAUGUGAUGGUAUAUUCUCGGUGCAGUUGGAAAACAAGGUGGCAUCCUUUUGCCUAAAUUUAUAGUCUGCGGUAAAUGAAAUGUGUGAUGGUAGUUAUGAAAGACUGUAAGGCCAUCUCUAACCGAAGGGUCCAGAGGGCCAGAGGGCCGAAAAUAGCCCUAAAACCGUCUCCAACCGAGGGCUAGGCCAGAGGGCUCUGGAAUCUGGGAGGGCCCCACGGGAUCGGAGAGGGUUGGAGGGCUGGAGGGCUGGCUACUUUCGGCCAGCCAGCCAGCCCCGGGCUGGCUAUUUUUUUUUUAAUGUUUUCCUAUUGCUGUCGGUUAUAACCGACAGCAUUAAAGAAGGAUUUUUUAAUAGUGUCGGUUAUAACCGACAGUAAUAGUUAUUCAAAGGCAAUUUAUUUUUUAAUUACUAUUAGUGUCGGUUAUAACCGACACUAAUAGUUUGAAUUUUUUUUAUUAUAACGGCUAGUAGCCGUUGUAUUAACAGUUUUUUUUAUAUGAAUUUAAACUUCUUUUUUUCCUUUUCAUAUGAAUCAAAUUUUGUUUCAUAUUUUUUUUCAAUUCUAUUUUACAAAAUUUGUUUCAAUUUUUUUUUUAAAUUCUAUUUUUUUUUUCUAUAACUUCUAUUUUACAAAAUUUGAUUCAUAUUUUUUUUUCCUAUAACUUCUAUUUCACAAAAUUUGUUUCAGUUUUUUUUAAAUUCUAUUUUUUCCCUAUAACUUCUAUUUUACAAAAUUUGAUUCAUAUUUUUUUUUUCAUAUAACUUCUAUUUUACAAAAUUUGUUUCAUAUUUUUUUAAAUUCCAUUUUUUCCCUAUAACUUCUAUUUCACAAAAUUUGUUUCAUAUUUUCUUUCAAUUCUAUUUUUUCCUAUAACUUUCUAGGCCAUUAUACAACAUUGAAUUAAAUUAAGUAACAUGAAACAACAUUAAACAAUAUGAAACAACAUUAAAUAACAUUAACCAACAUAAAAAUUAUACAACAUAAAAAAAACAUUUAACAACAUGAAACUUAAACAACAUUUUUAAAAACAUUUAAAAACAUAAAACGUAAACGCCUACUCGAAGCUUCACUUAGCCGUUGGAUUUGAAUUUAAAUUGUAGUUUCAAAAUAAUAAAUUAUGUUUGGCCCUAUGACCCUUUGGCCCUCGGUUGGAGAUGAUUUUUUGUGACAGUGCUAAAACGAGCCAUCUGGCCCUCUGGCCCUCGGUUGGAGACGGAGGCAAAUAUGACCAUGUACUGUUCAUUAAAAUAUUAAUAUCUUGAAGAAUCUUGGAGGGCCAGAGGGCUCAAACGAGCCCUCUAGCCAGCCAUCGGUUAGGCCAUCUCCAACCGAUGGCUGGCCAGAGGGCUCGUUUUAGCCCUGUCACAAAAAACCGUCUCCAACCGAGGGCCAAAGGGCUAUAGGGCCAAACAUAAUUUAUUAUUUAAAAACUACAAUUUAAUGUUGUAUAAAUGGCCUAGGAAGUUAUACGAAAAAAAUAGAAUUGAAACAAAUUUUGUGAAAUAGAAGUUAUAGGAAAAAAAAUAUGAAACAAAAUUUGAUUCAUAUGAAAAGGAAAAAAAGAAGUUUAAAUUCAUUAAAAAGGGAAAAAAAGAAGUUUAAAUUCAUUAAAAAAGAAAAAGAAAAAAGAGGCCUAAUAAUCCAACGGCUACUAGCCGUUAUAUUCAAAAGCAUUUCAAACUAUUAGUGUCGGUUAUAACCGACACUAAUAGUAGAACUAUUAAAAAAAAAAAAGAAUACCUUUAAUGCUGUCGGUUAUAACCGACAGCAAUAGGAAAUCAUUAAAAAAAAAAUAGCCAGCCUGGGGCUGGCUGGCUGGCCGAAAGCAGCCAGCCCUCCAGCCCUCUCCGAUCCCGUGGGGCCCUUCCAGAUUCCAGAGCCCUCUGGCCUAGCCCUCGGUUGGAGACGGUUUUAGGGCUAUUUUCGGCCCUCUGACCCUCUGGACCCUUUGGUUGGAGAUGGCCUUAGAGAUGGCCUAAUGAUAAGAGGAUCAUAUACAUGCUUCGGGCAUGUCAUGUACAGACUUCUUUCUACGUGGGGUGUUCUGUGAAGAUAACAUAGUACUGGCAGAGUGUGAAACUAUGAGCCGGUGAUCAGGUUAAUUUGAUUUGAUGCUGAUUAAGGGCUCUAUUUGUAUAUCUAUGAAAUCUUUUCUAUCCGCAUUGUCAAUUAACAGUCGAUAGUCUCUUCUGAUUGGUUAUGUCCGCUCAUAUCCUUUUUAUUCCUAGCAGUUGUGUUUCAGUUCAUACACUAACCAUUUUCCGUUUGCCUAUGCAUGAAUAUGAGGGUUUUCUUCUUUCAGCAUGCGCAGAUGAAGAGGCUGAUCUUAUCUUUUGACGACGAGUCUAGGAAUCGAACGUCACAGACAAUAAUGUAGAGUCUUUCUUAGUUUUGGUCUUAAUAUUAGACUUCCCUGGGCGUAUAUGUCAACAAGACGAAGAUGAUACAAGGGAAAAUUGUAAUUCUUGUUACAACUAUGGAGGAGGAUGUCUGCACCUGUAUAUUGUUGGGUGCUAAUAUGACGCAGAAUGCUUGUAUUGCUAAUUUUCUAUGGAUAGAAUAACAUUGUUUACGAUUGGUUUUACGGUGGAACUUUAUUUUAUUUUUUUCAUGGUAUUAGAGCAAAUUAUCCCACCUGAUGAUGGUGUGUCACUUAAGGCUGGUUUGGUAUUGCUGUGCUUUAAAAAAAAACUGCUGUGAGAAUAAGCGGCUGUGAAAUAAAUCACCAAAGUGUUUGGUAAACUUUUUUGUAAACGUGCUUUUGGAAAAAAAUACAAUCUGAUAGUGAGUCUUUUCAUUAAAGGAGCACUGUAGCUCCGUGUGCUUUGAAAAAAAACCAAUUUUCCAAAGCUGUAAAUAGCAGCUUCAGCAUUUUUCCUUUAAUUUCAGCUUAUUCUCACAGCAGCUUCCAAAAUAAGCUCUUUUUUUUCAGUUUACCAAACACCUAAAACCAUCACAGCUUUUUUUAUGAAUAGAAUAACAUUGUUUACGAUUGUAUUGCUAAUUUUCUAUGGAUAGAAUAACAUUGUUUACGAUUGGUUUUAUGGUGGAACUUUAUUUUAUUUUUUCCAUGAUAUCAGAACAAAUUGCCCCACCUGAUGAUGAUGUGUCACUUAGCCCCGCGUGUUGGGUGAUAUCCCUUUGGCUUCACACGACUGUCAAUGUGUGGAUUUCUCACGUGUGACCCACUAAUUAGGUCCCACAUGAGGUGGUGUUGAAGUAUCUCACAUGGGCAGGAUGGCAGAGAAAAUAAGAGUUUAAAUAUUUUAACCCUACUCCGACUACCACCAAGCCUUUUUGCAAAAAAAUCCACACUUGUAGAACUGUGCAGGUGAUAAUUAAUAAGUUAGAAACAACAUCGGUGUUAUUGGAAAUGAGCAUUUGGCCUGUCUCUUUGGUAAGUUUGACAAUAUUACAAUCUGAAAUUCACGUUCUAUGCAUAAAAACAUAGUUUCAAGUUUUUGACGAGCAAGAUAUACAUUAAAUUGCUCUAUGAAGCUCAGCCGUAAUACAUUAGGCAUCAUCGCCCAACAGGAUUAUCUGAUGAGCGAUUAACACUAGAGUGGCAGUAGGGUUGGUUUGACAUAUCUAUAUUGUUACACCCCCAUUUGCUCCCUCUAGUUCCAUGGACUAUGAGGGUGUCUCGUGCAACUGAAGCUAGCACAACACAUCUUCCAACAACUAUAGUAGUAUCAACACGUGACUGCCGCUAGCAUAACUCUUUAGAUUUCGUACUCUUGAACAAUUAUGACAACUUUACGCAUCUUCGAACAAUUAUGACUAGUCUAUAUGCGACUGCCGCUAGCACAACUCUAUAAAAAGCAUUGCAAUGCUUUCAUCCAGCAUUAAUAUUGUGACACCCCACACCUACCCAUCACACCCAACUUCAACCCAACCCUGCCCAACCACCUAGCCCAGCACCAAGAAUAAGUAAGCCACCCAGCGCAUUUUAGCAACCGCAAGUUCAAAAUGGCGCACCCGAUUGCGGAGGCGAACGAGGAAAGCCCCUACGGCGCGUUAACUCCGGAGGCCUUCUAUUCCCGCCACAACGUCUCCCACGCAUCCGAGUACACCACAAACCCCCGAGGCCUCAAGCUCUUCACCCAGUGGUGGACCCCACUGCCUCCGACUGAGAUCGUCGGGACCCUCGCCAUCGUCCACGGCUUCACCGGCGAGACCAGCUGGUUCGUCCAGCUCACCGCCGUCCACUUCGCCAAGUCCGGCUUCGCCGUCUGCGCCAUCGACCACCAGGGCCAUGGAUUCUCUGAUGGACUCAUCGCUCACAUCCCCGACAUCAACCUCGUAGUCGACGACUGCAUCUCUUUCUUCGACUCGUUUCGUGCCAACCACGCGCCGAAGAACCGCCCCUCGUUCCUCUACUCUGAGUCCCUCGGCGGCGCGAUCGCCCUUCUCGUCACGCUCCGGCAAGGAAGCGGCGCGUGGGACGGUCUCAUCCUCAACGGCGCCAUGUGCGGGAUCAGCCCCAAGUUCAAGCCGCCGUGGCCGCUCGAGCACCUGCUCUUCCUCGUGGCCGCGGUGAUCCCGACAUGGAGGGUGGUUCCCACGCGUGGGUCGCUCCCGGACGUGUCGUUCAAGGAGGAGUGGAAGCGGAAGCUGGCGCUGGCGAGUCCGAGGAGGACGGUGGCGAGGCCACGCGCUGCGACGGCGCUUGAGCUGCUGAGAGUGUGCAAGGAGCUGCAGGGGAAAUUCGAGGAGGUGGAGGUGCCGCUGUUGAUAGUCCAUGGGGGCGACGACGUCGUCUGCGACCCCGCAUGCGCGGAGGAGCUGUACAGGCGCGCGUCUAGCAAGGACAAAACGCUCAGGAUCCACGAGGGCUUGUGGCACCAGCUGGUUGGCGAGCCCCAGGAGAAAGUGGACUUGGUGUUCGGUGAAAUGGUGGAGUGGCUUCGUACUCGAGCUCAACGCGCCGCCGCCGCGAAUGGAGGUGGUGGUGCCUAGUGCAGAACUAUAGGGGUUAGGGCUAAUUUGGUUUGCUGUGUCUUGAAAAAAAAGGCUUGAUGUGAGAAUAAGCGGUUGUGCUAUGAAAAUAAGCGAUUGUGAAAUAAAUCAGCAAAGCAUUUGGUAAAUUUUUUUGUAAAAGUGCUUUUGGAAAAAAAACAGUUUGAUAGUGAGUUUUUUCAUUAAAUGAGCAUUGUAGCUCCGUGUGCUUUGAAAAAAAACUAGUUUUUCAAAGCUGCAAAUAGCAGCUUCAGCUUUUUCCUUUGAUUUUAGCUUAUUCUUACAGCAGCUUUCAAAAUAAAUUCUUUUUUUUUUAGUUUACCAACCUAAAACCUUCACAACUUUUUUCGAUAGAUGUAUAUUUUUUAAGCACCACAUUUCCAAAUCACCUCUUAAUUUUUAGUUUAACUAGAUUUGUAGGGAGGAAUCAGAAGCUGCCAAUGGAAGCAUGCCAUGUCACUUCAAGUUUAAAUAAAUAUAUUAUUAACUAAUUAAAAAUUUAGUGAAUUAUCUAACAGUUUGUCAAAAAAAAAAAGUUCAACCACCCCAAAUUCCCAAACCUUAUUUCGGUCCAAUUAAAAGGGAUCCAAAUAUGGGUUUUGGCUAUUAUUAGGUUAAGAUUUUAUGAGAGUAUAAAUUUGUAGUUCAUGUGGUUAUGAGCACGUGGCAUGUGAUGUGCAUGUAUCUGAGGUAUUGUGUUUGAAUCCUAUCUCCUCUAAUAUCCCUCGUAUCAAAUAAAGGAAAAAAGAUUAAGCCUGUAAGAAUAAAAUUGAAUUGAAUCGAUAAAAAUGAUACCUUUGAAAAAUCACCCACGUUUCUUGGACAAGAUGAGAAAAUUGAGAUCGUUUUUCUGCUAAUAAUUUACCAUAUUUUUUGUUUCCACCAUAGAAGAUGAGUUUUUCUGCAUUUACUCCUUUUUUUAUCUGUUGGUUUUUAGUAAAAUAAAGAUUAAGGACGAUGGAUUCGACCAUGAUGUGGAUUGUGCACCAAGCAAUGAACAAUGCACACGAAAAAAAUGCAGUUGAAAGAAGGCGUUCUCCAGCGCUUGAAUGGGAUCUGCAGAUUUUAUGAAUUGGCUGUAAUGCAGCUAGAAGGGUGUUUGAAGUUUGUUCGACAAGAAACAGACGGAGUUUAAUUUCUUUUAAGAUGGAGAGUGUCAUUACCAAGAGCCUUCUUAUUGCCAACCUAAACCACAUGAAGAGGUUCAAUUAAACUCAUCUGUUUCUUUAUCUCCACCUGCCCUCAGAUUUUCACAAAUCACAAGCAUUGGCUGAUUUUGAACACAGAACGAGCGAUAAGUUGGAAAUGAACUUUUUGAGGUAUUGUUCUAUCUACAACUCAUUCCUCACUACAGCUUUAAUUUACUUCUAGUAGGCUUCUGGUAGACUAACCGGAUUGCAAUCCUACUUCUUUACAGAUUGGACAAGAUGAAGGAUAGUUUAGAUACACUCGUCAAACUUGUAUCCUCCUUGAGAAAAAAAGAAAUCAAUUCAUCGGGACACUUUUACUAGGAGAUGUCAUGAUCUCUGGAAGGCUGAAACUGGGGUUCUCGGCUGCAGUAAAUUAAUAUUUUCGGUUUUGAUUUGUUCAUGAUUAAAUCAUUUCAAGUUUAAUAUUGGUUGAUGUGUGUCAUAAAUAGGUUGAUCUUCUUGGUGAUCAAGUGGAUGACAUUAUGUGAUCACUCACCAGUUCUGCGGCACUAUUCCGAGGUGAGCAAUGUUUUCGUUUCCCCAUUUCUUGCGUCGCAAGGUUCUGUUUUUACCGAUGCUUAAGUAAUCCUUUCCAUAAUACACAAGCUUCUGUUUUACAUUGGAAAUGUGAAUUGUUUAUCGCCGCUCGAUUUUCCUGCAGGUCGCUGACGUCUUACGAUUGAUCAAGGCGGAACUAACCGGAGUUGUGAAUGCGUCGAAAAUUUGACAUGUCCAUAGAAGAAAAAGAUAAAACAAACAGAAACACAGGGCUGCAGGAAAAGACAGUAAGAAACCAACAAGGAAAACAAAAUAAAAAUACAACAUUUCUCAAUUGGUUGGCGAACUAUACUAUGUUUUGAGAAGAUCAAACAGCAAGACAAAACCCAAGCUGGCGAUUAGCUCUCAUCCUUGGUUUUACCUUGAUAAGUUCGUACCAGGUUAUUUCGCCGUCUGCUUCUUGUCUUUUUUUCUGGCUCUGUGAAGGUUAAACAGUUAUAGUUUGUGGAUAUAUGAACCUGCAUUUCAAGUUCUUGAUUGUUUUCUGUACAUCAUCGAAAACUCGAAAGCUCUCUCAUGGCCAAACUGCUUCAUUUAUGCUCCUAUUGUGUCCUAGUUUUGCUUCUCUAUGUUAAGUUUGUGACUUCCUUCAACCAGUUUGGAUUGGGCGCACCACGGCCUGCGCCCACUGGAGGGCUAACGACAUCGCCAUCAUCAUCACCAUCACCAUCAGCACCACCAUCAGCUCCGACACCAUCACCAUCACCACCAUCACCAGCUCUGACACCAUCACAGCCACCAUCAGCUCCGACACCAUCACCAUCAGCUCCAACACCAUCACCAUCACCACCACCACCAUCUCCGACACCAUCACAGCCACCAUCAGCUCCGACACCAUCACCAUCACCACCACCACCAGCUCCGACACCAUCACAGCCAUCAUCAACACCGUCUCUGCCACCAUCACCAGAAUCUGAACCACGUCCACCACCUACAAAUAGCAAAGGGUCUUCAGGAGGACUGAGUGGUGGACAGAAGGCAGGGGUGGUGUUUGGAGUGCUGAUCGGGGUAGGACUGAUCGGGUUUGGUGGCUUCGUGUACAAGAAACGCCGCGCUAACAUUAGACGGAGCCGCUAUGGAGCUGCAGCCAGGAGAAGCUUUCUUUGAUUUAGAAAAAAUUAGAGUGUGAGAUAGGAGACCAACAUCAACGUAUACUUGUUAAUUCAAAUUUUGAUUUGAUUGUUCUUCCUAAAUAUCGAAAAACUUGCAUUUGCAACAAAAUUUGAAAAUGUCGUACGACUUGUUCAUGUCAUAAUCUUAGUUAUGGACGUGUUGCAAUUUGUAAUUUACAAAGAAAAAAAGGUUUGAAACAAUGUAUCACUUGUAGUCUAAUUCCGUCUACUUUCUCAUCUAAAAACUUUGUACGUGAUUUGCACACGACUCACUCUUUUCAAGAGUAUUUUAACGUUUGAAACAUCGAUACAACUUUGUCAGAUUAGUGCUUUUCAAGUGGUUUUUUCGCCUAAAAUCCAAGUGGUGCAAAAUGGUUCCCUAGCAAUGCACCACGUGAUAGCUUGCAUUACAAAAACAUGUGAGACCGGUUCUCAUAUGGCAACUUAAUAAGUGUCUUUGACGUAGAAAUCUCUCCUUCAUGCAUUUGAUAUUGUAUUUCUAAUUCCUCCUAUCAAUCUAACUUGUUGUCAUCCGUUUCUUCCUCAUUUGGCCUAAAUUCCUUUAAAUUUGCAAGUUCCUUAAUUUGGUGUCAUUCUUCAAUAUCAAUUCAGUAGUGGUGUUUUUCUUAAAGUGUGUGGUUUGACGUGUUUUUCUCUAAAUUUAUUUGGUGUCAUUCAUCUUCACUUGAAAGUGAGAAGUCUUAGCCCAUUGUGUAGCUGAGCCGAGCUCCCUCUCCCUCUAAUGUAAAAAUAUUGAUGUACUAAAAAAAAAAAAAAUAGUCUACUCUUAUCGAAAUUAGUUUGAAUAUAUAUAUGAAUAGCCCAAGAGUAAGAGUUUGACCCAACGAGAAAAACAACCUUAGACGAGCCAACCAUAAACGAAAUAUCCAUAACCGUCAAGUAUUUGGGCCCAUUGGACAUGACAGCCCAACUCAUCAAGAAUGUCUUAGGCAUAUAUAAUGUGUUCCGAAAGUGAAACAUAAUUUAGGGUUCAGAAGAUAUAACAGAUACUAAUAGCCGUCAAUUACUUCAAAUUAGGCGAUUAUUAUCUGUUGAUGUAUCUGCCCGACUCGUAAAAUAAUCAUAAUUUGUUUCAUGUUUUGAUUAUUAGUUGUAAAUGUAAGGAAACGAUUACCAAUAACUAUUGUUUGCUUUAGUUGAUGAUUAUCGACUAUUGAGCAAUGUGAAUGACCGAUAAUGACGUUAAUUCCCUUCAACAUUGUCGAUCAUCUACCCAUGUUGCUCAUAGGGGCUUGAAAUUGGAUGUAUUAUCUUCAUGAAAGACAUGAUGGUAGUAGAUUACAAGCACUAAGCAAAAGCAUUAAGGAAAAGUGGAACACUAAAACGAUGUGUUGUGAGUAUUAGUGGAACACCAACACUAAAACUGUCCUUCCCUUACUUAUAUUAAACAAAUCACAAAUAUUUAUGUCGAUAAUACAUAAGGGAACUGCCUAAUCAACAACCAAAUAAUUAAUUAAAUUAUUUAAUUAGAUAAAAAUUGUCAACUCUUGGAGGAGACAUAAAGGAAGGAACUAUGCCUAACUAAGCUAAUCAAUCUCUAAUUCAGGCUUUUGGGGCAAAAAUUCCAUAAGCAAAUUACUGUUUUCAAAGACUUUUUCCCCCUUUUCACAUUUUUCUGCUUUGAAUUUGAUUGGCCCUCCUUCCACAAUCAGCACCUUUUGAGGUUUACAAGCAAUGACUGUUUUUUGAACCAUAAGUAAAUAUUAUUUUUUGUCCACGAGGUUAAAUCUUCCGCACUCAUUUCAUAUGUGGUCUUUCUGUGGCUUUACUAAUCGAUUGAUAUAUGUUAAGUUUAUGACAACAAAGUUAAUGAGAAAUUUUUUAGUGUAACCGAAAUAUGGGAUAGUAUGCGGUAUGCCACAUGGUAUUAUAUAAUUGGAGGGAAGUCUUUUUUUUUUUUUUUUUUAAAGUGUCCCUUCAAUUGUAUACGGAUAUAUGGGGGUGUACCAAUCCGUAUUACCAUCACGCUGAAAAAUCACAUAAAGGUAAGGGUGCGGAUUUCGACUCCCCAAUAAACACAAAAAUGUGAGAGGUCCCGGGUUUGAUGCUCCGAGCUAGUGAGUCUGUUUGACUGUGGUUACGGGUAUGAUGAAAUUCCCUAUAGCCUCUGCGGAUCUGAAAAUAGGGAUAAUUGUGACUUAUCACUAGUCGUCCCCCUAUUCACAAAAAAAAAAAAAAAAAAAAAAUGCCGCACACAAAAUAAGUGCAAAAGAUUAAACCCUUUGUUCGUGUUGACUUAAAAAAGUCAAUAAUUUAUUCAAGUUGACAAAACCUUCUUGUAGUUUUAUGAAAAAAGGCAGAAUAAAUAAAACUCGGCUUUCUGCGUUCACGUGUGCUUUGUAUUUGAAAAUAUUACACUAAACAUGUUUCGAUUAAUUUCAUCCAUUU